GACGAACGCUGGCGGCGUGCUUAACACAUGCAAGUCGAACGGAAAGGCCCUGCUUUUGUGGGGUGCUCGAGUGGCGAACGGGUGAGUAACACGUGAGUAACCUGCCCUUGACUUUGGGAUAACUUCAGGAAACUGGGGCUAAUACCGGAUAGGAGCUCCUGCUGCAUGGUGGGGGUUGGAAAGUUUCGGCGGUUGGGGAUGGACUCGCGGCUUAUCAGCUUGUUGGUGGGGUAGUGGCUUACCAAGGCUUUGACGGGUAGCCGGCCUGAGAGGGUGACCGGGGGUGGGAGUGCGGCGUGGCAGAGCGGGAGUGAGAGGCGGCGCGGAGGGCGAGGCGGGGGAGGUGGGGGGAGUGGUGAACGCGGGGGGGGGGCCCGCGGCAGCGGCGGCGGGUGAGGCAGGAUGGCCGGGGGGGGUAAGCCCGAUUGCGGCUGGGAGGAGGCGGGAGGGGCGGUAAGGGGAAAAGAAGCCCUGGCACACUGCGGGCCAGCGGCGGCGGGAAAAAGCGGAAGGGCCCACGCUGAAC
rnacentral:rRNA from 1 species